rnacentral:rRNA from 1 species
AACGAACGCUGGCGGCAUGCCUAACACAUGCAAGUCGAACGAUCCCUUCGGGGAUAGUGGCGCACGGGUGCGUAACGCGUGGGAACCUGCCCUUAGGUUCGGAAUAACUCAGAGAAAUUUGAGCUAAUACCGGAUAAUGUCUUCGGACCAAAGAUUUAUCGCCUUUGGAUGGGCCCGCGUUGGAUUAGCUAGUUGGUGGGGUAAAGGCCUACCAAGGCGACGAUCCGUAGCUGGUCUGAGAGGAUGAUCAGCCACACUGGGACUGAGACACGGUCCAGACGCCUACGGGAGGCAGCAGUGGGGAAUAUGGGCCAAUGGGCGCAAGCCUGAUCGAGCCAGACCGCGUGGGUGAAGAAGGCCUUCGGGUUGUAAAGCCAUUUUGUUGGGAAAGAAAAGCAGCAGGUUAAUACCCCGCUGUUCUGACGGUACCCAAAGAAUAAGCACCGGCUAACUUCGUG